AUUGAACGCUGGCGGCAAGCCUAACACAUGCAAGUCGAACGAGUGGCGGACGGGUGAGUAAUGUCUGGGAAACUGCCUGAUGGAGGGGGAUAACUACUGGAAACGGUAGCUAAUACCGCAUACCAUCGGAUGUGCCCAGAUGGGAUUAGCUAGUAGGUGGGGUAAAGGCUAACCUAGGCGACGAUCCCUAGCUGGUCGGAGAGGAUGACCAGCCACCCGGGAACUGGGACACGGUCCAGCCUCUUACGGGAGGCAGCAGUGGGGAAUAUUGGACAAUGGGCGCAAGCCUGAUGCAGCCAUGCCGCGUGGAUGAGGAAGGCCUUCGGGUUGUAAAGUACUUUCUGCGGGGAGGCGGUACCCGCAGAAGAAGCACCGGCUAACUCCGUGCCAGCAGCCGCGGUAAUAC
rnacentral:rRNA from 1 species